rnacentral:ncRNA from 1 species
AUAAUGACUAUGAAGAGAAGAGUAAGCGGAUGGAACUGCCAAAGAGAGCUCCGGCGGGUGAAAAGGAGUGCGGGAAAAUUUGCUGAACAUGGCCUCCGAGUCAGGUUUGCCGAAUAAUAAAGCAGCCCGGGAUCUCCCGUUACAGAGAUGCGGUAUCAAGGCGCAAGCCGGCGUACCUAUGGAGGCCUGUGCGGUGACGUGCAGGUAAAAUUGGGUGGUAACACGGUCUUCGUCCCUUUG